rnacentral:rRNA from 1 species
GCGGCAUGCCUUACACAUGCAAGUCGAACGGCAGCACGGGUGCUUGCACCUGGUGGCGAGUGGCGAACGGGUGANUAAUACAUCGGAACAUGUCCUGUAGUGGGGGAUAGCCCGGCGAAAGCCGGAUUAAUACCGCAUACGAUCUGAGGAUGAAAGCGGGGGACCUUCGGGCCUCGCGCUAUAGGGUUGGCCGAUGGCUGAUUAGCUAGUUGGUGGGGUAAAGGCCUACCAAGGCGACGAUCAGUAGCUGGUCUGAGAGGACGACCAGCCACACUGGGACUGAGACACGGCCCAGACUCCUACGGGAGGCAGCAGUGGGGAAUUUUGGACAAUGGGCGAAAGCCUGAUCCAGCAAUGCCGCGUGUGUGAAGAAGGCCUUCGGGUUGUAAAGCACUUUUGUCCGGAAAGAAAUCCUUGGUUCUAAUAUAGCCGGGGGAUGACGGUACCGGAAGAAUAAGCACCGGCUAACUACGUGCCAGCAGCCGCGGUAAUACGUAGGGUGCAAGCGUUAAUCGGAAUUACUGGGCGUAAAGCGUGCGCAGGCGGUUUGCUAAGACCGAUGUGAAAUCCCCGGGCUCAACCUGGGAACUGCAUUGGUGACUGGCAGGCUAGAGUAUGGCAGANGGGGGUAGAAUUCCACGUGUAGCAGUGAAAUGCGUAGAGAUGUGGAGGAAUACCGAUGGCGAA